rnacentral:rRNA from 1 species
AUGAUUUCCCUAGUAACGGCGAGUGAAGAGGAAAGAGCUCAAAGUUGGAGCCUGUUUGGCUUAGCUAAACCGGAUUGUAAACUGUAGAAGUGUUUUCCAGACACGCCUGGUAAAAAAGUCCUUUGGAACAGGGCAUCAUAGAGGGUGAGAAUCCCGUCUUUGGCCAGAGCUGUUGUCUUUUGUGAUACAUUUUCAAAGAGUCAGGUUGUUUGGGAAUGCAGCCUAAAUUGGGUGGUAAAUCUCACCUAAAGCUAAAUAUUUGCGAGAGACCGAUAGCGAACAAGUACCGUGAGGGAAAGAUGAAAAGAACUUUGAAAAGAGAGUUAAACAGUAUGUGAAAUUGUUAAAAGGGAACCGUUUGGAGCCAGACUGGCUUGACUGUAAUCAAUCUAGGCUUCGGCCUGGAUGCACUUGCGGUUUAUGCCUGCCAACGACAAUUUUUUUUGAGGGAAAAAACUAUUAGGAAUGUGGCCCCUCCUCGGGGGGGUGUUAUAGCCUUUUAGAAAAUACCUUGAAUUGGAUUGAGGAACGCAGUGAAUGCCUUUAGGCAAGGUUGCUGGGCGCUUUCGCUAAUAAAUGCUAGAAUUUCUGCUUCGGGUGGUGCUAGUGUUUAAAGGAGAAACUCGUCUGGUAUAUUUUUUAUUCGCUUAGGUUGUUGGCUUAAUGACUCUAAAUGAC